GCUUAACGUCCAUACCCAUGCAUGCUUUAAGGUUUUGGAAUGGUUCUGGGCUGGUCCCUCACACUGCAUAUAUGAACUGGCUGGAGAUCAUUAUGUGGACUUCCAGAAUGGAUUUUCUGAUGUAGUUUUGUCUGAAAGUCUUGGCUUGUGAAGAUUCUAGUGUCCCAAGAGGAUGGGCCUUUUAAGUGAAUGAUACAGGUCUUCAGUUUCGACAUAGAGAAUUAUCUUUCUGUAUGACUAAAUUUGACAAACUCGUAUCCGUCAUGUGAAAAUAGUGUGCAUGAGAAUCUUCCCCAGGUGACAACUUCAUAAGAACUGAUAAGUACCUGCAAAAGGUCCAGAGUAGUUUGUCCAUUGUGAUGAUCCAUCAAUGUCCUGAGUUUGAAGGGGAGGUCAACAAGAAGUGCUGGAAGGCAUGAGUCUCAGGAAGCCUGCAGAAUGCCAAAGCACAUGUCUGUGUAAGUGUCAGACUUGUAAAUCAGCUUUGGUACAAAAGUUUAACAAUGGGGAAAUGGUCACAUACAAACAUUCGUUUGGGGAUUAGGCUUAUGAGUCUGGCUGCUUUUAAACACUUCAGCUGACACUGAUAUGAAACCAGGGCAUAAAACCAGGAGCCUGACAUUGCCAGUUGCCUUCAAAUUACCAUGUCUGAUGAGAGAAAAAAGAGAUGAAGUUAAUGGAGAAAUGGGACAGGUCAUCUGGACUCUGAUAAUUAAUGUUCCCUAGAAAAUAAAAGUUUUGAAACUUUCCUGGAAAUGAAGUUUUAUGAUCUGCUACAACAGCCCACAGGGGGAAUGCUGCAACCUACACAUAUUGACAAUUGUGGUAUUACCAGACAAUUAAUUUUUAUGAGUAAUUUCCAGAGCAACCCUCAACCAUGCAGUCACGCAUACAGUGCAAGAGUGUGCCAUGGAAUCGAGACUCAGCUAAAGGCCAAAGAUUAUACAGAUUUAUUAAUAUUUGCAAAAAAGUUCCCAACAGUGGAGAGCAAAUUGAGCAACAGAAUGGGGAAGAAGGAAUGGACUUGACAAUAAAACGAGUUUUGUAAGGAUAUGAUCCAGAGCAUAGUGAACUCAACAGAAAGAUUUCCACUGAUUUUUUUUUUUUAAGGUCUUGGAUAGAUCUUGAGAAAUGAGACACUCUAUCUUAUACCUUUCCCCCUACUUUCUCCAUCUGAAUGGAAAAUACAUUGUUCACAACUGGCAUAUACCCUUUAGUGACCAAGAAUUACAAGCAAAAUGUUGAACCCAUUUGAGAUGCAGAGCCAAGAAUCCCAACCUAAGCAGUCCCAGAAAUGGUUCUGCAAGGGCUAAGCAACUGACAAAUUCUCUCUAACAGUACCUUCAUAUUUGUAUUAGAAUAGUCUUACCUUGUACUUAACUUUGCAAACACAUUCUGCUUUCUCACUUAAAACUCAGAGGAUAAUGGAGUAACUGGAUUUAUAAUUUAAUUUCUCUUAAAUUCUUCUCCAUACACACCUUGCAAAGGUAAUGACUUGUUUAGUUUUCCUCUAUUCACGUCUAGUCUAAGUGGUAAUAGCUGUUACUUUUAAACAGCUUUAAGUACUUCAGUAGUUCUUAAACCAUGCAAAGGAAUACUUGUGAUAAAAGAACAAUGAACAGAGAUUACUGGAGAUGAAGUUGUAGAACUGAAUUUGUCUAUAUAUCAUUCAGAAAAAAACAAUAGCUCUGUCAAAGUCCCUGUUAAAUGCUGUUAGACAAAAUUAUAUACUUUGCACUAGGUGAGUCUAUGUAGAUCACAGAUUACGGCCCCAAGUGAUAGAUCUCCAAGAUAAGCUUGGUUACCUGUUUUCAAAAUUUUUCCUUCUGUGGGAACAAAAGAUUUCUGUCUAAUGUAAGUAAUAUUUGAGAAACUCAUCCUGCUGUGAUAGCAACUCUUAUUUCAUCCUACACACUGAAGAACAUAAUUUAUCUUAACACUAGGCAUUGAGCAAAGCUAGCUAUGGGGAAGUAGUACUAAUAGGGUUUCCUUUUACUGCUGAACUCAAUUGAAAUCUUCAGUCAAGCCAAGCCUGGUUUAAGUACUCUGCUGGUUAUUUUCUUUAGCAUGGUGUGAAAGACCAAGGCUGCUUUAUUGCAAGGGAAGGAGAAGUUACCAACAUGCUGAGUUGAGGAGCUGGUGACAACACACAGAAAGAGAAAUUGGCAUUACUUCCCAUCACUUUGGAGAUACAAGAAUAGACUUCUUUACAGAGAAAAUCAAAACAUUUUCAGUGGAGAAUGCUCAACAGAAAGUGCUGCUGCUGCUGAAGAGAGUGCUGAAGGAUUGCAGCCUUCUCAGUAUCCAGCAGAUCAGGACUAAACGCUUCCAGGUCCCUAAGAACAAGCCCCUCUCCUUGCCCAGGCUGUACAUGAUUGGAGUGCCUGCUUCUCACCUUCUCAUCAGCCUGGAUUCCAUCUGUAUCAGAAAGCCCAAAUUCCAUGGUCUGAGGAAUCACAAUCAUUGUAGGUGCUGGCUUUCCCUCUGUGGAAUCACUCUGUGCUGCUUCCUCCAGGAUCCUGUAAGGUAGCAUCAGUGGUGACAGUUGUCCUUCACCUGACCUCAACACAUACACAAACCCCUUAACAACAGGCAUUGGCAUCUCCUUCUGCAAGGUGAUUCUGACCUAGGCGUCAGAACACCAGCAGUGCCUAAAGCUUUGCAACACAAUACAAAAUACACGGUAGAAUUGGGUUAAAAGAUCAGAAAUGAAAAAGACCUGCAUUUUUUUGCUGUUACAGCACUGGACAU